rnacentral:rRNA from 1 species
AGUGAACGCUGGCGGUAGGCCUAACACAUGCAAGUCGAACGGCAGCACAGUAAGAGCUUGCUCUUACGGGUGGCGAGUGGCGGACGGGUGAGGAAUACAUCGGAAUCUACUUUUUCGUGGGGGAUAACGUAGGGAAACUUACGCUAAUACCGCAUACGACCUACGGGUGAAAGCAGGGGAUCUUCUGACCUUGCGCGAUUGAAUUAGCCGAUGUCGGAUUAGCUAGUUGGCGGGGUAAAGGCCCACCAAGGCGACGAUCCGUAGCUGGUCUGAGAGGAUGAUCAGCCACACUGGAACUGAGACACGGUCCAGACUCCUACGGGAGGCAGCAGUGGGGAAUAUUGGACAAUGGGCGCAAGCCUGAUCCAGCCAUACCGCGUGGGUGAAGAAGGCCUUCGGGUUGUAAAGCCCUUUUGUUGGGAAAGAAAAGCAGCAGGUUAAUACCCCGCUGUUCUGACGGUACCCAAAGAAUAAGCACCGGCUAACUUCGUG